rnacentral:rRNA from 1 species
UAUGGGGUGACUGCGUACCUUUUGUAUAAUGGGUCAGCGACUUAUAUUCUGUAGCAAGGUUAACCGAAUAGGGGAGCCGAAGGGAAACCGAGUCUUAACUGGGCGUUAAGUUGCAGGGUAUAGACCCGAAACCCGGUGAUCUAGCCAUGGGCAGGUUGAAGGUUGGGUAACACUAACUGGAGGACCGAACCGACUAAUGUUGAAAAAUUAGCGGAUGACUUGUGGCUGGGGGUGAAAGGCCAAUCAAACCGGGAGAUAGCUGGUUCUCCCCGAAAGCUAUUUAGGUAGCGCCUCGUGAAUUCAUCUCCGGGGGUAGAGCACUGUUUCGGCAAGGGGGUCAUCCCGACUUACCAACCCGAUGCAAACUGCGAAUACCGGAGAAUGUUAUCACGGGAGACACACGGCGGGUGCUAACGUCCGUCGUGAAGAGGGAAACAACCCAGACCGCCAGCUAAGGUCCCAAAGUCAUGGUUAAGUGGGAAACGAUGUGGGAAGGCCCAGACAGCCAGGAUGUUGGCUUAGAAGCAGCCAUCAUUUAAAGAAAGCGUAAUAGCUCACUGGUCGAGUCGGCCUGCGCGGAAGAUGUAACGGGGCUAAACCAUGCACCGAAGCUGCGGCAGCGACACUAUGUGUUGUUGGGUAGGGGAGCG